rnacentral:tRNA from 1 species
GUAGAUGUAGUUUAAAAAGAACACUAGUUUGUGAAGCUAGCAACAGAAGAUAAAACCUUCUUAUCUACC